CAGCCGUAAACUAUGCGCGUUAGGUGUACUGGUGACCACGAGUCACCGGGGUGCCGAAGGGAAACCGUGAAACGUGCCGCCUGGGAAGUACGGUCGCAAGGCUGAAACUUAAAGGAAUUGGCGGGGGAGCACCACAACGGGUGGAGCCUACGGUUUAAUUGGACUCAACGCCGGAAAUCUCACCGGAUAGGACAGACAUAUGAUAGUCGGGCUGAAGACUCUACUUGAUGAUCUGAGAGGAGGUGCAUGGCGUCAGUGACU
rnacentral:rRNA from 1 species